CUCAGAACGAACGCUGGCGGCAGGCCUAAUACAUGCAAGUCGAGCGAGAAGCCAUCUUCGGGUGGUGGAGAGCGGCGAACGGGUGAGUAACGCGUAGGUAUCUACCUAGUAGUGGGGAAUAACCAUUGGAAACGAUGGCUAAAACCGCAUACGCCCUGAGGGGGAAAACUGAGGUGCUAUUAGAGGAGCCUGCGUUAGAUUAGCUAGUUGGUGAGGUAAUGGCUCACCAAGGCGACGAUCUAUAGCUGGUUUGAGAGGAUGAUCAGCCACACCGGAACUGAGACACGGUCCGGACUCCUACGGGAGGCAGCAGUCGGGAAUAUUGCGCAAUGGAGGAAACUCUGACGCAGCCAUGCCGCGUGAGUGAAGAAGGUCUUUGGAUUGUAAAACUCUUUCAACUGUGAUGAUGAUGACAGUAACAGUAGAAGAACGCCCCGGCUAACUUCGUGCCAGCAGCCGCGGUAAACGCACUCGU
rnacentral:rRNA from 1 species